AUUGAACGCUGGCGGCAUGCCUUACACAUGCAAGUCGAACGGCAGCACGGGAGCAAUCCUGGGUGGCGAGUGGCGAACGGGUGAGUAAUAUAUCGGAACGUGCCCAGUCGUGGGGGAUAACGUAGCGAAAGCUACGCUAAUACCGCAUACGAUCUAUGGAUGAAAGCGGGGGAUCGCAAGACCUCGCGCGAUUGGAGCGGCCGAUAUCAGAUUAGGUAGUUGGUGAGGUAAAGGCUCACCAAGCCGACGAUCUGUAGCUGGUCUGAGAGGACGACCAGCCACACUGGGACUGAGACACGGCCCAGACUCCUACGGGAGGCAGCAGUGGGGAAUUUUGGACAAUGGGCGCAAGCCUGAUCCAGCAAUGCCGCGUGCAGGAUGAAGGCCUUCGGGUUGUAAACUGCUUUGUACGGAACGAAACGGUAAGCUCUAAUACAGUUUGCUAAUGACGGUACCGUAAGAAUAAGCACCGGCUAACUACGUG
rnacentral:rRNA from 1 species